CGCCUGCCUGCAGACGCCUCCAGAAUAGGCGGUGCCAGAACGAAAACCGUACGCAGGUUUACUCGGUGUGUACGGUGAGGACAUCGCACCAUAGGCAGAGUCGCUGGGGUCAGCUGAAUAGCGCUUGGGGUCCAUUGAAUCACCAUGCUCCCAAACCACAUUCAGGGGGGGACGAGAGAGAAAGAGAGACAGAGAGAGCAAGCGAUGGAGCCAACAAAAUUCAAACACUCAAACCACAGGCCACUCACAGAGGCACUCAACCUUUCACUGCCACUUAAAUAGCUCAGCUUGCACUAAAGGCCUCCUCUGCAUUUUCCGAAGGGCGAAUUGGACAGCAACAGAAAAGACUGCAGAUCCAAUCAAAGUACAAAACAUCCAAAACCAGAAAGAGACAAAAACAGUCUAAUACGUAAAACCUAAUUUCUACUGUGCAGAUUGUAUGGAGAUAGAUGUAAAUACAGCUCUAUUAAAAAGGUCGAAGAACAGAGGUCACGUAAAAAAGCUUGAUGAGCACGCACUUGACUUGGGCUGUCCGUCUGAGUGCUUUUCAGUGUGGAAUGAGGAAGAGGAGGAGGGAGACGACGAAGGGGCGAUGGGCUGGUCACUGAAGAGGUUCUCACACAACAGGCUUCGGCACAACUUCUUGAGGAAGCGGAGGACGUAACCCACGCUGUUGACCACUGGCAAACUCAACAAAUGCUGCUUGCCAUCAAAGGUGGCUGAGGAAAUGAAACAAAGAGUAAUUCAAUUUAAGUGAAUUGCACACUGUUGGAAACUGUGUAAAUACCUUUAUUUUACAGCAUAUUACAUGUUACGUAUUAAAUCUUUGUGGUCUAUGACAGGUUGAAUAAACGUUGAUUAAAUGUUUGAUUUAAUUUAAAAUAUAAAAAUACUGUAAUAGAUUUUUUCAGGAGUUUUGAAUAGAAAGGGCAAAUGAACAGCAUUUAUUUGAAAUAGAAAUCUUUUGUAAUGUCUUUACUGUCACAUUUGAUCAAUAUAAUGCCUUCUAGCAGAAUAAACGCAACUCUCUGUAGAUUUUAGCAUAGUAAUGCAUAUGACAAUGUUAAUGUAUUUGGUCUUAGUGGAAUAGAUCUGCUACGCUGCUGAUUUGCUGCUGCUGUUGGCUAUUACUGUUGUUGUAUACUAUUGCUGCUGCUGCAAAGCAAGUACAGGAACUUGCUACUGAAAAUACAUAUGCCGAUACGGUGCUGUAGGUAUUUGAAACAUGCUGCUGCAUGAAUAGCAUAUAUAAUAGCCUUUAGCAGAUCUAUACAGGUGGAGCUGGGGAGGUGGAGGGUUUCACAGGAACUCUGAAAUGCUCUAGUGAAUGCUAACCAUUCAUUUAAAAUGUAAAGCGGCAAGCUCAUUGGCUGCGCAUCCAACAUGAACCAAUCAGCUUGUGCCAAGUAAUUUAACGCUGUGAAUAUUUGCGUUAGUUUGCAUUAAAAACCCAUCAGCCUUCUGCCUUUUAGAGUUUUAUGACAGAACUGGGCAUUCAUUUCUGUAAAAAAAAAAAAAAAAUCUUUCUGACCCCAAGCUUUUGAACGGUGCACAAAAAAGGAUUAACCUACAAUGAACAUCAGAAUGCAUAAUGAUAAUGAGAAUGCAGGCACGCAUUUGUGUUGGCAUCCAAAAUAACCUGAGAUCUUUUCUCCCCCAUAGCCCUCGGUAAGCAGGGUGAAGACGGCUUUCUGCUGAAACGCGCUGUCAAUGCAGCCCUGUACCGCUUGCUGCAGCACCACAGAGGGCCUGGCAGGACCCAGGUGAUCAGGCAGCUGCAGCACCUUCUGCCUGUCCAGGGAUCAAAAGAGAGCGUGACUCUUCUGCUGUACAAAGAAUUAAAGUCUAGAAACCUGGUUGGCAGACAAAAGCCUCUUGUUCAGCAACUGCUCUCUACCGCAAAAGGAUUAAGCUUUGAGAACUCAGGAUUGAGUUCAGCCAUACCGUCACAUCUUCUCAUGUUUAAAGCAGACCUCAUGAAGAACUAGACAGUGAUGGAUGUUAUUGCCAAUUGGAUGGGCAGCCCAUGUAGACCGCUGGGUCCUGACCUCAAAGAUUGAGUGUGUCUGUGCUGUAUGAAAUCAUUACUGGCUACAUUCGCACAGACUGAGUUUGGAUUGACAGAUCAAUGGAUUCAAGUCUUAUAACAGCUGCCACAACAAUAUUUGAAUGCUUAAUAUUUAGUUGCAUGGAUCAGCAGCUGAUUUGGAUUAUAUGUGACUCUGGACCACAGAAGCCAUUAGUAGCGCGGGUGUAUUUGUAGCAACAGCCAACAAUACACUGUAUGGGUCAAAAUUAUUGAUUUUUAUUUAUGCCAAAAAUCAUUAGGAUAUUAAGUAAAGAUCAUGUUCCAUAAAGACAUUUUGUACAUUUCCUACCUUAAAUAUGUCAAAACUUAAUUUUUGAUUAGUAAUAUGCAUUGCGAAGAACUUCAUUUGGACAACUUUAAAGGUGAUUUUCUCAACAUUUUGUUUUUUUUUGCACACUCAGAUUCCAGUUUUUCAAAUAGUUGUAUCUCAGCCAAAUAUUCUAACAAAAUAUAUAUAAUUGGAAAAAUUAUAAAAUUAUACAUAAUUGGAAAGCUUAUUUAUUCAGCUUUCAGGUUAUGUAUAAAUUUAAAAAAAAUUGGUUUUGUGGUCUAGGGUCACAUAUGAUUAUUACUGUUUCUAAACUUUCGGGUCACAUUCUUUCAUUUUGUUUUUAAAGAAUGAAUUAAAUUAAUCAAAAAAUGACCAUUUACAUUAUUACAAAAGAUUUCUAAUCUUCAAAGAAUGCAGAAUAAAUGGUUUUAACAAAUAUAUUAAGCAACUGUGUUUAACCAUGAUAAUAAGAAAUGUUUCUUAAGCAUCAAAUGAGCAAACAAGAAUGAUUUCUGAAGGAUCAUGUGACACUUAUGACUUGAGUAAUGGCUGAAAAAAAUCAGUUUUGCUUCACAGAAAUAAAUUAGAUUUUAAAUUAGAAAACGGUUAUUUAAAUUGCAAAAAUAUUUCACAGUAUUACUGUUUUUAUCUACUAAUCUCUAGUUUUUAAUGAAAAAAAAAUAUAGCUUUGGUAAGCCUACACUCAAAAAAAAAGGGGUGAAAUGUAGACAAACCCAGCGAUUGUGUUGUUUUUACCCAGCAGUUGAGUUAAAUGUUUCACCCAACCUUCUAGAUAGUUUUAUUUAACUCAAUUAUUGCUUAAAAUGACUACAUUUCUUGCUUAAAAUAGACCCAAAAUAGGUUGGAAAUUAACAUUUAUUAAUAUGUUCAAUAAAUUAACAUUUAUUAAUAAGUUGAAUAAUAAUAAAUAUUUGUGAUCCUGGACCACAAAACCAGUCAUAAGGGUAAAUUUUUUGAAAUUGAUAUUUGUAAAUCAUCUGAAAGCUGAAUAAGCUUUCCACUGACGUAUGGUUUCUUAUGAUAGGACAAUAUUUGGUCGAGAUACAACUAUUUGAAAAUCUGGAAUCUGAGGGUGCAAAAAAAAAUACUGAGAAAAUCGC